rnacentral:rRNA from 1 species
UACGAAGGGGGCUAGCGUUGUUCGGAAUUACUGGGCGUAAAGCGCGCGCAGGCGGCUAUCCAAGUCAGUGGUGAAAGCCCGGAGCUCAACUCCGGAACUGCCAUUGAAACUGUUUAGCUUGAGGAUGAGAGAGGUGAGUGGAAUUCCCAGUGUAGAGGUGAAAUUCGUAGAUAUUGGGAAGAACACCGGUGGCGAAGGCGGCUCACUGGCUCAUUACUAACGCUCAGGCGCGAUAGCGUGGGGAUCAAACAGG